UACGUAGGUGGCAAGCGUUGUCCGGAAUUAUUGGGCGUAAAGCGCGCGCAGGCGGUUCUUUAAGUCUGAUGUGAAAGCCCACGGCUCAACCGUGGAGGGUCAUUGGAAACUGGAGAACUUGAGUACAGAAGAGGAAAGCGGAAUUCCACGUGUAGCGGUGAAAUGCGUAGAGAUGUGGAGGAACACCAGUGGCGAAGGCGCUUUCUGGUCUGUAACUGACGCUGAGGCGCGAAAGCGUGGGGAGCAAACAGG
rnacentral:rRNA from 1 species